rnacentral:rRNA from 1 species
AAGUCGACGAUCAGUAGCCGGACUGAGAGGUUGAACGGCCACAUUGGGACUGAGAUACGGCCCAGACUCCUACGGGAGGCAGCAGUGGGGAAUAUUGGGCAAUGGGCGCAAGCCUGACCCAGCAACGCCGCGUGAAGGAAGAAGGCUUUCGGGUUGUAAACUUCUUUUAUCAGGGAAGAUGAAUGAGACUGUACCUGAUGAAUAAGCCACGGCUAACUAC